rnacentral:rRNA from 1 species
UAGGGAAUAUUGGUUAAUGGGCGAAAGCCUGAACCAGCAACGCCGCGUGCACGAUGACGGCCUUCGGGUUGUAAAGUGCUUUUUGGAGGGAAGAGGAAGGACGGUACCUCCAGAAUAAGUCUCGGCUAACUACGUGCCAGCAGCCGCGGUAACAAGUAGGAGACCAGCGUUAUUCGGAUUUACUGGGCGUAAAGCGGGUGCAGGCGGUCUGACAAGUUGGAUGUGAAAGCGCCUGGCUUAACUGGGAGAGGUCGUUCAAAACUAUCAGACUAGAGAGUGGUAGAGGAAGGCGGAAUUCCGGGUGUAGCGGUGAAAUGCGUAGAUAUCCGGAGGAACACCAGUGGCGAAAGCGGCCUUCUGGACCAAUUCUGACGCUCAGACGCGAAAGCUAGGGUAGCGAACG